rnacentral:ribozyme from 1 species
UGCAGCAAUCACCAAGAACAUUCGAAUGAUGCUUUAUUUUUGUUUUUAUUAUACUUGUGCAAAAAAAGAAAGAAAAAUAAACCUAAACCUU